UACGUAGGGGGCAAGCGUUGUCCGGAAUUAUUGGGCGUAAAGAGCGCGUAGGCGGUCCGAUAAGUCGGCUGUGAAAGUCAGGGGCUCAACCCUUGGAAGCCGGCCGAUACUGUCGGACUAGAGUCCGGAAGAGGCGAGUGGAAUUCCCGGUGUAGCGGUGAAAUGCGCAGAUAUCGUAAGGAAGACCAGUGGCGAAGGCGGGUCUCUGGACAGUUCCUGACGCUGAGGCACGAAGGUCAGGGGAGCAAACGGG
rnacentral:rRNA from 1 species